rnacentral:rRNA from 1 species
AUUGAACGCUGGCGGCAGGCCUAACACAUGCAAGUCGAACGGUAACAUGAAGCAGCUUGCUGCUUCGCUGACGAGUGGCGGACGGGUGAGUAAUGUCUGGGAAGCUGCCUGAUGGAGGGGGAUAACUACUGGAAACGGUAGCUAAUACCGCAUAAUGUCGCAAGACCAAAGAGGGGGACCUUCGGGCCUCUUGCCAUCGGAUGUGCCCAGAUGGGAUUAGCUUGUUGGUGGGGUAACGGCUCACCAAGGCGACGAUCCCUAGCUGGUCUGAGAGGAUGACCAGCCACACUGGAACUGAGACACGGUCCAGACUCCUACGGGAGGCAGCAGUGGGGAAUAUUGCACAAUGGGCGCAAGCCUGAUGCAGCCAUGCCGAGUGUAUGAAGAAGGCCUUCGGGUUGUAAAGUACUUUCAGCGGGGAGGAAGGGAGUAAAGUUAAUACCUUUGCUCAUUGACGUUACCCGCAGAAGAAGCACCGGCUAACUCCGUG